UACGUAGGGUGCGAGCGUUAAUCGGAGUUACUGGGCGUAAAGGGUGCGCAGGCGGUUAUAUAAGACAGAUGUGAAAUCCCCGGGCUCAACCUGGGAACUGCGUUUGUGACUGUAUGACUAGAGUACGGUAGAGAGGGGUGGAAUUCCUGGUGUAGCAGUGAAAUGCGUAGAUAUCAGGAGGAACAUCGAUGGCGAAGGCAGCCCCUUGGACCUGUACUGACGCUCAUGCACGAAAGCGUGGGGAGCAAACAGG
rnacentral:rRNA from 1 species